UUUAUACUGAUUCCUGGGAUAGAUAAGUCUGUCUUCUCCACAUAAUGAAAAUAAAAAACUUUAAUUUUAUACAGUGGCAGUUACUUUAGCCACUUUAAAAGUUAAGAAGUGUCAGUACAGCCAAGAAAAAAAAUCAGCAAAACUACAGGUUGGGAAAAAAAUAUUUUCCAAACCAUAUAUCUAAUGAUAUCUUAGUAUCUAAAAUAGCAAAAAAAAUAAAAAAUAAAAAAAAGCCCUACUAAAACCAACCUACUAAACCCUACUAAAAAACAACCCUACUAAAAAUGGGCAAAGGACUUGAAUAGAUAUUUUUCCAGAGAAGACAUACAAAUGGCCAGUUGAUGUAUGAAAAAAUGCUCAACAUCACCAAGCACCAGAGAAAUGCAAAUUAAAACCCCAAUGAGUAUCAUCUCAUCUCGCUCCAGUUAGAGUGGCUGUUACCAAGAGGACAAAAGAUAGUGUUGGUGAGGAUGUGGAGAAAAGGGAACCCUGUGUGCUGUUGGUGGGAAUGUAAAUUAGUACAACUAUUGUGGAAAACUCUGGAGGUUCCUCAAAAGUCACAGGACUACCAUGUGCUCCAGCAACCUCAUUUCUGGGUGUAUAUCCAAAGGGCAUGAAAUCAGAAGCUCAAAGAGACACCUGGACCCCCAUGUUCAUUGCAGCGUUAUUCACAAUACCCGAGAUAUGGAAACAACCUAAAAAUUUUUGGUGUUUAAUGACAAUGUGGUGUGUGUACACAACUGAAUAUUAUUCAGCUAUGAAAACGAAGGAAAUCCUGUCAUGUGUGACAACGUGGAUGAACCCAAAGUCAUUAUGUUAAGUGAAACGACCCAGGCACAGAAAGACAGAUACUGCAUGUCACUCAUAUGUGGAUCUAAAACUGUCACAACUCACAGAAACAGAGUAGGACAGUGGUUGCCAGGGGCUGGGGGAAUGCAGACUGUGGCGAUGCUGAUUAAAGGUGUAACUUCCCGUCACAAGGUGAAGUUCUGAAGGUCUGAUAAACAGCAUGGUGGCUAGAG
rnacentral:lncRNA from 10 species